GGACCGUCUGUCGGACAAGUACGUUAGCCCUGGGGCAAGUACGUUAGCCCAACAAGUGACUACUCCGGAGCUCACUGCCUGGGGGGAGCGACCACCACCAAGCUAAGAAAACAGACUAUGUGAGUAAGAUCUGAUCCCCCUUUAGAGGGUUCAACUGACAACAAUGUCACAAUUUAACUCUAACUAGUUCUUUAUACUAGUUUCAUAAUUUCAUUUCUCGAUGCUAACCAAAUCUCUAGUCAUGAUGUCACCAAGUUUACUAUUGUCAAAGUCCAUGCAUUCAUAGGGUUCUAUGUCCACAAUCUAAGGUUCACAAAUUCUUAUUGUUGAUAGGAAUUCACAUUUUCACUCGCUCAGUGCCAAACACCCUAUAAUGCAUGACUACAAAUAUAAAUAUGCUCAACGAAGAAUUAUAGACAUAAAAGGUGAUUCAAAGAGUUCGGAUAGCACCACCCACCUGUAGUGGUGUCAAUCAACUAGAAUCCACGUCUCAGAAAGCGUCGACGACUAUCUCUCGCGACUCCGUGCAAAUAGAACUAGAGCGGUGUAACAUACCACAUCCCUCGUAAGUCGUGCCGAGUUCCGUCAGAACGAGCGGAACGCGGAAUUGAACGAGUUACAGUGGACCCUAAGUGCAUUGGGGUUCAUAAACGGAGCAAAAAGGGACCCGGAGAGCAAAUCUGGAAAUCUGGCUAAGUCCCAGAUUUUUUUAGCUCUCGGGGACCGGUCCCUGAAGGAGAGACCGGUCCCCGUACGCAUAGCCUACCAGGAAAUCCUGAGGCAUCCGGUCCCUGGCGAUGAGACCGGUCCUCGGGAGACCGGUCCUUGACGGGCAGACCGGUCCCUCGCUGCGCAACAGCCGAAAAAUCCGAAAAUUUGGCUAAGUCCUGGAAAACCCCCGUUCGGGAACCGGUCCCUGGUCGGGGAGACCGGUCCCCGAAGGCGAAAAUGGCCCAGUCUGGGCAGAUUGAUGGGAAACAAGUGGAGGGGCUUAUGUGCAAUUGUUACAACACUAUAUGUGGCCCAUCCCCUCUCUCCCACAGCCAUUU
rnacentral:lncRNA from 1 species